ACAGCUGCCUUAAAAUCACCAGAAGUCACACUGAGGGAAUCUGUUUCUUUUAUCUACAGACAUGCUGGAUGUGGGGGAGGAGAGUCUAUAUGCAAGAAAACACCUUGUGUUCACCGAGAUCAGUUUACUUCUCAGAGACUUUGACAAUUUUACCUGAUACAGGAGACAGCAUAGCGGCUGCCCAGUAGCCCAACUGUGGAGACACAAAUGUCCAGUACAGCUGAUUUCCCUCCUUGCGGAUAAGUCCAGUUCCAUUCCGGAUCCACAGCCCUAAGAAGAGAGUAUAUGACUGAGUCUGCAGCAAUUAAAAAAGCCAUCUGAAUAACCUGAAAGAAAGGGAACUACUCACCAGCACUAACCUCUCAACCCCUCAUAAUCAAAAUUAUUCAAGAACAUAUGGAUAUAUUGUAAUAUUGUAAUCAGUAUCUGUAUUGUG